rnacentral:rRNA from 1 species
GGUUCGAUCCUGGCUGGAAUUGAACGCUGGCGGAUGUUUACGUACAAGUCGGGCAGCAGCACGGACUUCGGUCUGGGUGGCGAGUGGCGAACAGGUGAGUAAUGUAUCGGAACGUGCCUAGUAGCGGGGGAUAACUACGCGAAGGCGUAGCUAAUACCACCUUACGCCCUUCGGGGAAAAGCAGGGGACCUUCGGGCCUCGCACUGUGAAACGACCGAUAUCGGAUUGCCGUAGUUGGUGGGGUAACGGCUCACCCAGGCGACGUCGUAGCUGGUUUGAAGGUUGACAACCACCACUGGGACUGAGACACGGCCCAGACUCCUACAGGGAGGCAGCAGUGGGGUGGACAAUGGGGAAGCCCUGAUCAGCCAUCCCGCAUUGUGCGAUGAAGGCCUUCAGGUUGUAAAGCACUUUUGGCAGGAAAGAAACGGCGCGGGAUAAUACCCCGUGCAACUGAUGACUACCUGCAGAAUAAGCACCGGCUAACUACGUGCCAGCGCGGCCGCGGUAGCGUAAGGUCCCAAGCGUUAAUCCGGAAUUACUGGGCGUAAAGCGUGCGCAGGCGGUUCCGGCGGAAGAAAGAUGUGAAAUCCCAGAGCUUAACUUUGGAACUGCAUUUUUAACUACCAGCGAGCUAGAGUGUGUCAGAGGAGGUGGAAUUCCGCGAUGUAGCAGUGAAAUGCGUAGAUAUGCGGAGGAACACCGAUGGCGAAGAGCCAACCUCCUGGGAUAGCUUACUGACGCUCAUGCACGAAAAGCGUGGGGAGCAAACGGAUUAGAUACCUGGUAGUCCACGCCUAAACGAUGUCAACUAGCUGUUGGGGCCUUCGGGCCUUGGUAGCGCUAACGCGUGAAGUUGACCGCCUGGGAGUACGGUCGCAAGAUUAAAACUCAAAGGAAUUGACGGGGACCCGCACAAGCGGUGGAUGAUGUGGAUUAAUUCGAUGCAACGCGAAGAACCUUACCUACCCUUGACAUGUCUGGAAUCCCGAAGAGAUUUGGGAGUGCUCGCAAGAGAACCGGAACCACGGGGUGCUGCAUGGCUGUCGUCAGCUCGUGUCGUGAGAUGUUGGGUUAAGUCCCGCAGCGAGCGCAACCUUGUCAUUGGUUACACGAAAGGGCACUCUAAUGAGACUGCCGGUGACAAACCGGAGGAAGGUGGGGAUGACGUCAAAUUACCUCGCGAAAUGUGGCCCUUAUGGGUAGGGCUUCACACGUCAUACAAUGGUCGGGACAGAGGGUCGCCAACCCGCGAGGAGCCAAUCCAGAAACCCGAUCGUAGUCCGGAUCGCAGUCUACGCUCGACUGCCGUGAAGUCAGAUCGCUAGUAAUCGCGGAUCAGCAUGUGGUGGAUACGUUCCGGUCUUGUACACACCGCCCGUCACCAUGGGAGUGGGUUUUACCAGAAGUAGUUAGCUAACCGCAAGAGGCGAUUACCACGGUAGGAUUCAUGACUGGGGUGAAGUCAUGUUUACAAGGUAG